rnacentral:lncRNA from 1 species
UUUUUUUUUCUUUUCAGGGCCACACCUGCAGCACAUGGAUGUUCCCGGGCCAGCGGUGGAAUCGGAGCUGCAGCUGCCAGCCUCUGCCACAGCCAGGCAGGAUCCAAGCCGUGCCUCUGACCUAUGCUGCAGCUUGCGGCAACGAUGGAUCCUUAACCCACCGAGCGAGGCCAGGAGUCAAACCCACGUCCUCACAGAGGCGUCAGGUCCUUAACCCACCGAGCCACGACGGGAACUCCUGGAAAGGAAACCUUAACGAUGCAGGAGAAACUGGUGACCCACCAGGUCAAUGCGGUUAUGUUCAGCGUGCCGUGCCACCAGCAGCGACUGGCGCAGGAGGCCCGCGACACCACAGCGGUUUGGGUAGACUUUUGUCCCAUCUACGGAGGAUGGCACUGAGGACUGGUUGUCACACGCCCUGUAAGACAGAGCAGGUGCCAAAGAAACUGGUAAGUGACGCGUUUGGUAAUUAAGCGCUACGUGGUCAUUAGUGAAGGCAUACUCCCUGUCUGCCCUGCAGUGUAUUGACGCCCUGGCAGAGGCAGGGCGCCCAGUGGGACACAGGGGAGGCAUUCGACUGAGUCCCAGACUCGGGCAAGCAGCCGAGGAGAGGCCUCGUGACGGGUCCUUCAAGAUGCCCAAGUUACACAGCUGAAGGGGGCGGAGACCUCACCUACGAAUGAAACCCACGCCAGGGUGUGGAGGAGAUCACGGUGCCAAACGGAGUGGCCCAGCCGGUGACAAUGCCUUCAGUUCAAAUUUCAGGAACUCGAACCCCACGUAAGCUACUCCGGGGGUGAGGCAAGGUGGGCUGGGGGUCUUCUCCAUGGAAGACCUCAAUGCCGACAAACUCACCACUUCCCACAGCCCAGGAUUCUUGGAAGCAAGAAGUUCUGUUUCGAGGGAAAUUCGAUGCUAAAAAUUAACACCCCACUGAGGGAGUUCCCACUGUGUCUCUAGAGGUUAAGGACCAGACAUUGUCUCUGUCAGGAUGGAGGUCGAUCCCUGGCCUCGCCCAGUGGGUUCAGGAUCGGGUGUUGCUGUGGUGUAGGCCAGCAGUUGCAGCUCCAAUUCGAUCCCUAGCCCGGGAACUUCCACAUGCUGCAUAUCCUAAAAAUUAAAAAAAAAUUUUUUUAAACCACUGAGGACUUCUCCGGAGGGUUCUUGGAGAACCAAGGGCAUCAGCAAAGGGCGAGCUUGAGCGCUGUCUGACGCAGGGAUGCCUGGAGCAAAGGCUUGUUUAAGAACUCCCCUAGAGAAAGCAGGCGUCUUUCAGUUUCCCGCUCCUGCCAGGAGAGCCUGAGGCACCUUGUAAGGCAGUGACUCGUUCCUGUGCUUGGAUCCCAAACCCCGGAGAGGUCAGGGGGCGUUUCUCUCCAGCUCACCCACCGCUGCACCAGCUCUUGGCCCCCCCGCAGCCUGCAGCGAGGGACAGAGCCGCUGGCCAGAGUUAGCCAUCCCACCGACAGAAGUUCUAAGUUGCCAGUCAGUAAAUGUAAUUGCAUUAAAAUCUAAGGUUUCUUUUUUGUUUUUAAUCCUCUGCUAACUGCCCCGCAGAAACAGAUGUUGUUAUUCUGAGCCUGGCAAAUUACUGGAGUGACCUAACCGUGCCUCCGGUGCCAGCUCGGGGUGUGGAGGGUUUGAAGGCACUGCUCUGUUCCCCUUUCUUCUUUUGAUUAAAACGAUGUGCCAGAAACCAGAGAGAAAUCAGAGAUCACAGCCUUCCAGAACUCUCUGCAGGAGCAAAGACGUUUCUGUGCAUAGCUGAAGAGCAGGGCGCAGUCUUCUGGAUGCCACCUGAGCUGCUUGCCCGCGGCCAGGGAGGGCCGGAACCCAGCGCUGGGGCGUCAGGUGUCAUUUUCAACCAAGUCUCUGGUGGCAGAUGGAACGCCUCCAAGUAUUCCCCACUUGGUCUUCUCUUGGAACCCACGGCAGCCCUCCCACCCACUGCUGUAUCCCCCCGUUCACAAGAUGCAUGCAGAGUGUUUUUCUACCAAAAGAAACCAUUAGCCAUGCAAGCUCGCAUGAUGGGAACUGGCCGCUGACCGCUCGGUGGGAAGGGGGGCUUUAGGGAGCAGUACGGACCGCGGUGAGCUGGUAAAUUUCCCAUUUGAGCUGAGCCACCGCUACCCAGCUGGAGCCAAUCUUGGUUUCAUGGGCCUGGCAAGUAGGCAGCUUUCUUCUUCCUUUUUAGGGCUGUACCUGCGGCAUAUGGAAGUUCCCAGGCCAGGGGUCAAAUUCAAGCUGCAGCUAUGCCCUACGCUGCAGUCUGUGGCAGCACCAGACCCUUCAUCCACUGAGGCAGGCCAGGAAUCAAACCAGCAUCAUCACGGCCAUGCCAGAUCCUGAACCUACUGAGAGGGGCCAGGGAACGAACCUGCAUCCUCAGGGAUACUGGUCAGGUUCGUUACCGCUAAGGCAUGAUAGGAACUCGGAGACUGUCCCCACUUCACAUGCCAACUGCAAGUCCAGGCUGUCCCCUAUGCUGCUGACGGACUGGCUGGCUUCAACCAGAGGUUCCCACGAGCCCUUCCUCACUCCAUAGGCACGGCUGACCCAAGCUUCGGCCCCUCUCCCCUCCCCAGUGGUCAGGGGAUGGGACUGAAAUUUCCAACCUCCUGAUCACCCGUCUGCCCCCUCCGGCCACCAGCAACACCCCCCCCAAAUCUUCAAGGACCUCAUGAACGUAACGAAAGGUGCCUUUCUAGCUCUCAUCACUUUGGAAGUUCCAAGAAUUCUGGAGCCCUUUGCCAGGGACAGGGACAAACCCAAAACAUGUAUUUCCUAUGAUAAAUCACCGCAUCGCGCCUUCAUUCUGUCUUUACCCGAACACACAAGGGUACCAUACGUUCCUCAAAAUACUAAGUAUGGCCGGUAACUGGCUGGGUUCCCGGAGUCCUCACCGGAUGCGCACCCAGAACGGCUGAAGGGCUGGCUUCGUGACGGAUCCUCUUCUGCUGCCCCGGAAUGACAGGGGACGGCGGUUCCGGCGUCCAUCGCGGAUCCCGUCCAGAACCGCAGGGUCCUUUUGCUGCUAAGUCUCGCGCUUCGCUCCCCUCUGCCGUCUAGAGGCUCGGGUGUUUGCUUUUUUUUCCUGAAAUGCUGUCUCCUCUGGGCCCAUUUCCAUCUGCCAAUGCAACCGAGCAGGAUCCCGGGGCUCCUGGGCACAGAAGCCUCCCUGCACCCUCCGUGUGCUUGUCUGGAGCAAACAGGUCUCCUUCAGCCUCCGUGACCUCCCCCGAGCUCCGAAGGGCAGGUUCACGACGUUGCUCAUCAAGGCAGAGAGGGGAUGCCCAGCCCGGGGAGCAACAGCGGAGAAACAAGCGUGCAGCCUUGGGGCAGGGUCCUGGCUCCCCCUCAAGGUCAAGGAAUACCCGGAACAGCAUCUCCGAAGGCUUCUGCAGAACCGAAACCGCAACCACUGGAAGAUGUUACCUGCUUAAUGAAGCCUUCCUCAUUCCAGAGAAGGUCACCACCAAAGCAGUCCCGGGCCGCUCAACACCAACUCUGCAACACUCAAGCGUGCGUCUGUCCAGAUCCAGAUCCUCAUCCGCCGCCCUAUUUUCCACACCCGACCUCCAAGACCUCGUCCUGGUCUCUCCCGAAGGAGGGCACUGCCUUCAGGGCAUUGACCUGCCACGGGCUCCUUGGCCUGGCCAAGCUAUAAAAGCUCUCUUUCCUUCUUCACCCCAAACCGUAUCUCUGAGGCUGAGUCUCAUUACCACCACAUGUCUUUACGCCCCUAAAACUCAAUGGGCUCCGUAUCCAGUCCCUACCCUCCCAGGCGCAAUCUCAGUCCCUCUGCAGAUUCAUCCCCGGCUCAGUCACGAUCAGAAGGACGGGGAGUCAGAAAGACACGCUGAAAAUCAAAUGCCCUCUGCAGGGGUGUCUAUGCCCCUAAUCCUACCAGCUAACACACCCGACACCCAUCACCAUUCAAAUCAAAGUCCUCAUGUGCAACAAAGUUCUAUGGAAGUUAUUUUCAGAUUUUAGCAAUUUGGGCAAGAAGGCUCAUGUUUGGGCAAAGUUACUACAUAAUCCAGAGAGUCCUAAUGAGCUGAGGGAGGGUAGAAUGAAGAUGACACUCGGGAUAUAAAAACUCAAAUUAUCAGUGGAAAUAGGGAGUUCUCACGGUGGCUCAGUGGUUAACGAAUCCGACUAGGAACCAUGAGGGUGCGGGUUCGAUCCCUGGCCUUGCUCAGUGGGUUAAGGAUCCGGUGUUGCCGUGAGCUGUGGUGUAGGUCACAGACACAGCUCGGAUCCAGCGUUGCUGUGGCUCUGUGUAGGCGGGGGGCUACAGCUCUGAUUGGACCCCUAGAGCCUGGGAACCUCCAUAUGCCUCGGGUGCAGCCUUAGAAAAGACCAAAAAAAAAAAAUUAUCCGUGGAAAUAGCCAGCUCCGAUGCGGCAGCGUCUUAUUCAUGAGAUGAUGCCACUCUUUCAAAUUCUUCGCUCAAACACCAGGCCUACUGAGUAAUUCACACAUUUGUACAUUUUACUCCAAAUAUUAUGACCUCAUUGCUCAUCAAAGGCCCUGACAUCACUUUAUACGGAACAGAAAAAUAGAGGUGAACGCUGGGCAACACAAGGGUUACAGGAAUUCUCAACGUUAUGAAUACGUCUAAAGACAAUCACAAAAUCAACAUCCAGGCGGAACCCCAGGAAGGAGUAGUUCCAGUCGCAGGCAGAGCUGAGCAGGAGUCCCACAGAACACAUCACCCAUCGGGCCUGUCCAGACCAGCUUCUCUGGGUCUAACCUACUUUUUCUGGCUUCUUUAUUCUCUGGAGCGUCUUUUGAACUGCACCCCCGUUUUGGAAAAUUCUCAGCGUUUCAAGGCUGCCUAAGGAACCACCAGCAAAUUCCCUGAGACGCGGCCUGAAGGAUCACUGCUCAAACUGGGAGAAGGCAGAACGUGCACUCAACACGAUUCAGAUUUCGAAGCGCCCUGCUCCCCAGCUCCCAGGGAAGACAGAGGAAGGCGAGAGCCGAA